rnacentral:rRNA from 1 species
UACGGAGGGGGCUAGCGUUGUUCGGAAUUACUGGGCGUAAAGCGCGCGUAGGCGGCUUUGUAAGUUAGAGGUGAAAGCCCGGAGCUCAACUCCGGAACUGCCUUUAAGACUGCAUCGCUAGAAUUGUGGAGAGGUGAGUGGAAUUCCGAGUGUAGAGGUGAAAUUCGUAGAUAUUCGGAAGAACACCAGUGGCGAAGGCGACUCACUGGACACAUAUUGACGCUGAGGUGCGAAAAGCGUGGGGAGCAAACAGG